UACGGGGGGAGCAAGCGUUGUUCGGAUUUACUGGGCGUAAAGGGCGCGUAGGCGGCCACCGCAAGUCGAUUGUGAAAUCUCCGGGCUUAACCCGGAAAGGUCAACCGAUACUGCGGGGCUAGAGUGCAGAAGGGGCAACUGGAAUUCUCGGUGUAGCGGUGAAAUGCGUAGAUAUCGGAAGGAACACCAGUGGCGAAAGCGGCUUCCUGGUCCAGCAUCGACGUUCAGGCACGAAAGCGUGGGGAGCAAACAGG
rnacentral:rRNA from 1 species